rnacentral:sRNA from 1 species
UUAAGAAAAAGUUGUUUUUUUUAAAUUAAAAGUUGUAGUUUAUACAUUGAUUCUCUAUAAACAUGAAGAGAAAACAAAUGUUGAACGAACAUCUAAAUUUAUAGGUAUAGAAACACAAGAACUUUUACAAUAAAUUGUAGUCUUUAUUGACCCUUUCAAGAGACAAAAGUUGUGUGUAACAUGCCAAAAAAAACAAAAAAACACCCUGCAAUGCUGUAAGCUAUAUCACAAUUCAUAUACAGCAGAGCUGGGAAAAAUGAUCUAUAAAAUCUAAUUCAUCAACCAAGCCAUCAAAUAAGAUGGAACGACUAGCACAUCCAGGGCAAGCAUGUCAAUGAAACAGUUCAGUGUAAAAUGACUGAUGGCAAUGGCUUUGUAUGCAUUAAUUCAAAGUAGUUAUUUUUAGAUACACUACUAUGAAUUACAAGAGAAUUGGAACAUUGUCUGCAGCCUCCAUCAUUUAUUGAAAGGUUGUUAGAAGGCAGUGUUUGCACAAAGUCUGCAGCCUCCAUCAUUUAUUGAAAGGUUGUUAGAAGGAAGUGUUUGCACAUACACCUACCGCUUGGUCUUCACUAUUAGAAGGCAGUGUCUGUCUCUCAGCACACUAUUUAAGUACCAUACAUAAGGUCUGUUGAAAAAACAAUGUACAAAUAGUGAUGCAACCAUUUUUCGUAGCUGUUCCUGUAGGGUUUUUGUGGGACUAAACUAAAAACACUACUUAAAGUACCAUUUCAUUUCUUUCAACAAUCUCCAUAUAGAUAAAACAACUCUAUUUUUUAAAUGAAGUAUGAAGAUUAUAUGCACAUGAAACCUUUUUUUAAAACAAAAUACAUAGACUGUUUGGCUUUUUUUCUCUCUCUUAAACACUAUGUUACAGAAAAUUUUAAUUAGGUGUAAAUGUGCAUAAGAAAAAGUGGGGUCAACUCAAAGUAGUGUGGCUUUAUUCUUUUUUUUUUUAAAAUGCAUUUCAUACUUGAUCCAUGCAAAAUAAAUCUUUGGUACUUGAUUAAAUUUUUAGAAAACCAAAACAAAUAGAUAUUAAAGAUGGCACACUUAACUAAACUAGGGGCAUUAUUAUAAACUAUAUAUCACAUGAUAUUAAAGCAAAUAAAACAAAAUAUGGCAGAG